UGCAGUNNNNNGUAACAUUUCUAGCUUGCUAGAAGAUGACGAGUGGCNGNNNGNNGAGUAAUGCUUGGGAACUUGCCUUUGCGAGGGGGAUAACAGUUGGAAACGACUGCUAAUACCGCAUAAUGUCUUCGGACCAAACGGGGCUUCGGCUCCGGCGCAAAGAGAGGCCCAAGUGAGAUUAGCUAGUUGGUAAGGUAACGGCUUACCAAGGCGACGAUCUCUAGCUGUUCUGAGAGGAAGAUCAGCCACACUGGGACUGAGACACGGCCCAGACUCCUACGGGAGGCAGCAGUGGGGAAUAUUGCACAAUGGGGGAAACCCUGAUGCAGCCAUGCCGCGUGUGUGAAGAAGACCUUCGGGUUGUAAAGCACUUUCAGUUGUGAGGAAAAGUUAGUAGUUAAUACCUGCUAGCCGUGACGUUAACAACAGAAGAAGCACCGGNNNNNNNNGUGCCAGCAGCCGCGGUAAUACGGAGGGUGCGAGCGUUAAUCGGAAUUACUGGGCGUAAAGCGCACGCAGGCGGUUUGUUAAGCUAGAUGUGAAAGCCCCGGGCUCAACCUGGGAUGGUCAUUUAGAACUGGCAGACUAGAGUCUUGGAGAGGGGAGUGGAAUUCCAGGUGUAGCGGUGAAAUGCGUAGAUAUCUGGAGGAACAUCAGUGGCGAAGGCGACUCCCUGGCCAAAGACUGACGCUCAUGUGCGAAAGUGUGGGUAGCGAACAGGAUUAGAUACCCUGGUAGUCCACACCGUAAACGCUGUCUACUAGCUGUGUGUGCCUUUNANGGNGUGNGUAGCGAANCUAACGCGCUAAGUAGACNGNCUGGGGNAGUACGGCCGCA
rnacentral:rRNA from 1 species